UACACAUGCAAGUCGAGCGGGGANANNGUAGCUUGCUACNNUUGUACCUAGCGGCGGACGGGUGANGUAAUGCUUAGGAAUCUGCCUAUUAGUGGGGGACAACAUUCCGAAAGGAAUGCUAAUACCGCAUACGCCCUACGGGGGAAAGCAGGGGAUCUUCGGACCUUGCGCUAAUAGAUGAGCCUAAGUCAGAUUAGCUAGUUGGUGGGGUAAAGGCCUACCAAGGCGACGAUCUGUAGCGGGUCUGAGAGGAUGAUCCGCCACACUGGGACUGAGACACGGCCCAGACUCCUACGGGAGGCAGCAGUGGGGAAUAUUGGACAAUGGGCGAAAGCCUGAUCCAGCCAUGCCGCGUGUGUGAAGAAGGCCUUUUGGUUGUAAAGCACUUUAAGCGAGGAGGAGGCUACUGAGAUUAAUACUCUUGGAUAGUGGACGUUACUCGCAGAAUAAGCACCGGCUAACUCUGUGCCAGCAGCCGCGGUAAUACAGAGGGUGCGAGCGUUAAUCGGAUUUACUGGGCGUAAAGCGUGCGUAGGCGGCUUUUUAAGUCGGAUGUGAAAUCCCUGAGCUUAACUUA
rnacentral:rRNA from 1 species